rnacentral:lncRNA from 1 species
CAGUUUUAGGCUCAGCAAAACAGAGCAGAAGGAACAGAGAUUUCCCAUAUACAUGUACAACCUCCAUGUUAACAAUAUCCCCAACCAGAGUGAUAUCUUUAUUAAAACUGAUAAACUUACAUUGACAAAUCAUAAUCACUUACAGGCCAUAGUUCACAUUAGGAUUCAGUCUUGGUGUUGUAUAUUCUGUAGGUUUGGACAAAUGCAUAAGAAUAUGUAUUCAUCAUCAUGGUAUCAUACAAAGUAGUUUCACUAACCUAAAAGUUUCUUUACCUACUCACUCCUCCCUUCCUGCUAAACACUGGCAAUGACUAAUCUUUUAAAUUCUGCCUUUUCCAUAAUGUCAUACAGUUGGAAUCAGAAAAUAGAGCUUUUCAGUUUGUCUUCUUUUAUUUAGUGGUAUGCAUUUAAGUUUCCUCUUUAAGUUUUUAAGGAAAUAUCACAAAUAUUUUCUGAAUACAAACUCUGAUCUUUAAAAUUAAUCUUGCCUCUUUCUUCCAAGAGCAGUAAACUUCUAAAAAUAAACACUGAAAGCUCUCAGAACAAAUUUAGAGCUAUUUAGGGAAAACAUUACCAAAUCUGAGUGAAGAUUAUUUAUGGUUAAAAUUAUAUUAGAAACAUAUUUAGAAACAAUGACCAGACUGUUUAGCUUUUCAAUUAUGAUCCCUAAUCCCAUAUGGAAUCCUGAAAUUAUCAAACUUAUUAAAGCAAAUGCAUUAAUUCUCUUCUUUCAUGAUUCAUUAAUUCAAUCAUUUCUUAUUUUAAAAAUGAGGUUAAUAAAAAUCUCAAAAUAUUCCUAAGGAUAUUCUACAUCAGAAUUUUUAAAUUCUUAGAAGAUAAUCUCUCUAGCACUCAUAGAACUUACUAUUUAUGAGUCUGUUUCAACUAUGUGUGAAGAUGCCCGUCCACCCAUCUUGACUACAACCUCUAAGCAUGUAAGAAUCAAGUAAGACAAUAUUUCUCUUCCACAUAUACAGAUCCAUACAUAUUUACUUUGGCUAUGAGUUGUGGGGGGAUAAGACUUGCCCACAGCUGAGAGGGCAACAGUGCUCUCAAGAAAUACAGGAAAUAUUUCCUCAGUGCCCCAGGAAACACAGAAGGUAGGGCUAUCAUCCUAGUAGGCUCAGAGGACAGAGCAUUAUCGAUAUAAGGAGAAUUAAUUUUGAAACUUAAAAUCUACCAGAAUUUGCCCUGUCAGGUUUUGAAUUUGCUUCGAAUACAUAAUUCCUUUUUUUAUCCCAACCUUCUCCCGUUUGCAAUGGAAAUUUCUAUCCUAUGCCUGUACCACCAUAGCUUUUUGGAAGCAGAUAACUUGGCUGGUUUCAAAGGUUCGUGGCUAGAGAGGAAUUCUGCCUCAAGACAAAUCAUACUGAAUCUCAUUCAUGGUUGAUUUUUAGACAUUUAGAUGAACUCUUGGACUUAGAGCUCAUGGUGGAAUGGAUUGAUACAUUGGGGGCUGGUGGGAUGGGGUAGGUAUGUUUUGCAUGAAAGAAGGACAUGAAUUUUGGGAUGGAGGGAAGAAUGUCAUAGGUUGAACUGUGCGCCUGCCAAAAUUCAACUGUUGAAAUCCCAACCUCCAGUCCCACAGAAUAUAACCAUUUUUAGAAAUAAAGUCUUUCAAGAGCUGAUUAAGUUAAAAUGAGGACAUUAGAGUAGAGCUCUCUAAUCCUUUAUGUAGUGUCCUUAUAAAAGACAAGAAGGAUGGGUGGGCACAGAGACAACACUGUGUAAAGUCACAGUAAGAAGAUGACCGUCGGUAAGCCAAGAACAGAGGCCCCAGAAUGAAAUCAACACUGUCAACACUUUUAUCUCACUUAUACUUCUAGACUCUAGAACUGUAAGAAAAAUUUAUUUUGUUUAAGCUACUUUGUGCAUAGCAUUUUAUUAUAGCUACCUAAGUAACUGAUAUGCCUGCCAUUUACACUAUCCUGGAACUACUACUGGAUGAGUAUACAUGCCAUACUCCUUCAGGGACAAACGUGCAAUGGCUCCUUUUCUCAGGGAUUGUGUUGUAAAGAAUUUGGGCUUUGGUUUUUGUUUGUUUUUUUCUUUUUAGAGCCACACCUGCAGCAUUUGGAAGUUUCUGGGCUAGGGAUUGAAUCAGAGCUGCAGCUGCAGGCCUACGUCACAGCCAAGGCAGCAGUGGAUCUAAGCAGCAUCUAGGCUGAGAUCAACCAGAUGGGCAAUCAAACAACCAAAUAAUUAUGCCUACAUAACGGAGCCCCAAUAAAAACUCUGACCACCAAACUCAGGUGAUUUCCCUGGUUAGCAAUACUAUGUGUCAUGUCACACAUUAAUGCUGAGAUGGUAACGUGUGCUGACUCCACAGGGAAAGGACAAAGGAAUUUCAAGUAUGGAUCCCUCCCAAACUCUACCUUAUGUAUGUCUUCCUUUGGCUGAUUUUAAUCUGUAUCUUUUGCUGGGUGCAUAACAGAUUUUAGUGAGAUCUAUGAGCCCUCUUAACAAACCAUCAAACCUGAGUAGUUUCUGGAAACCCUCAAAUUUGAAGUUGAUGUCAGAAUUAAAUACAGUCUUGGAGAUGGUGCCCUCAGACACUACCAUAGCAACAUUUCAUCUAAAUGCCCAAAAACAUUAAUCAUGAUUACCUUCAGUGAACCAUAAUACAUAAUCCUAAUUGGCCUGCAGUUCUAAAUUCAGGGUGAUUCUGUCUCUCACAAGAUAUAUGACAGUAUCUGGACACAUUUUUGGUGGUCUCAACUAAGGGAUGCUACUGGAGUCUAGGGAACAGAGGCCAGGGAUGUUUCUAAACAUCCUACAAUGCACAGCACUGCCCCCACAACAAAGGAUUAUCUGAUCCAAAGUGUCAAUGGCAUCAAGUUUGAGAACCCCCUGCAUUAUGUCCUUGAAUCAUGACAUGAAACCCCAAAUCUGAGAUGACAAUUCUGAAAGUAGUAAGGAGACAGCAACUGAAUCCCAAAGGCCAAUGUUCAAAUGUUUGCUCCACUUAAACCACCAUGCUUUGACAACUGGCAAACUUUUAAAUCUCUGGCCCCUCAAUUUCCUAAUUUGUAAAAUGAAACUAACAAUUAAGAUUUACCCCACAGAAUUUUUUAUGGAAGUCUUAAAAUGAGUGAACAAAGUAUUUGGACCAAAGUAAGUACUUGCUGAAACUCUUAUGUCACUUCAUUUUCCUUAUAAAUGAAAGCCAUUUAAAAUAUUUUUUUUCUUGCACUGACUGGAACACUGAUAAUAGCAGGUUGAUAAUUGGUUUUACUUGAUUUGAUGCAAAAUAAAUAGAUGAUAACUCCUUGGUGUCAUAAAUAUCAACUGCCAACAAAUAUUUCUGUAUUUCUAACAAAUAUUUCUAAAUAUUUCUUUCUAUGCAAACUUUGUCUUCUUGGAGUUCCCACCAUGGCACAGUGGGUUAAGAAUCUGACUGCCCCAGCAUGGGUUGCUGCAGAGGUGUGGGUUCGAUCCUGCAGCAUGACACAGUGGGUUAAUGGCUCUUCGGCUUUAAUUCCUGGCCCGGGGACUUUCAUAUGCCACGGUUGCAGCCAUAAAAUUAAAAAACAAAAGCAAAAAACUGCCUCUCUGCCCAUGAUUUUUUUUCUCUUUCCUUUCAUCAUCAGUACAAGUGAUAGCUUUUUUGUGUGCUCCCUCUCUACCAAGAAACCAAGUUUAUAUCAUACAGCAGAGUUACUUUAGAGGCAAUGACAAAGAAAAUAAACCAAGCAAUCCAAUCCAGUGCUAGGCAGACAUCUGAACAAAAGCACCUGUUAAAUCCAACCACCAGGUAAGCAACCUCCUCCUACAUAACCAUCUCCCAGAAAAUUACAAAUUGCCCAAUACUUGAGAUCAUUAAGGGCACACCACAGACUUGUGCAUGUUAAACCUGAGAACUUAAAAGAUUUAAUUUGUUUCUCUCUGUCUCUGUGUCUUCUACCACCCUCUCUGCUAAAGCAAAUUCCUCAAAAAAAAAAAAAAAAA